rnacentral:pre_miRNA from 1 species
GGGUCUACCCAGCUGCGUAAACCCCGCUGCGUAAACACAGCUGGGUAUACGCAGCUGCGUAAACCC